GGUUAAGCGACUAAGCGUACACGGUGGAUGCCCUGGCAGUCAGAGGCGAUGAAGGACGUGCUAAUCUGCGAAAAGCGCCGGCGAGGUGAUAUGAACCCUUGACCCGGCGAUGUCCGAAUGGGGAAACCCAGUGUGUUCCGACACACUAUCGUUAACUGAAUACAUAGGUUAACGAGGCGAACCGGGGGAACUGAAACAUCUAAGU
rnacentral:rRNA from 1 species